AUCGCCCCUUGGCCUUUUGGCCAAGAUCAAGUGUA
rnacentral:snRNA from 1 species